UACAGAGGUCCCAAGCGUUGUUCGGAUUCACUGGGCGUAAAGGAUGCGUAGGCGGUCGGGUAAGUCUGACGUGAAAUCCCGCAGCUCAACUGCGGAACUGCGUCGGAUACUAUUCGGCUUGAGGAAUGGAGGGGAGACUGGAAUUCUCGGUGUAGCAGUGAAAUGCGUAGAUAUCGAGAGGAACACCAGUGGCGAAGGCGAGUCUCUGGACAUUUCCUGACGCUGAGGCACGAAAGCCAGGGGAGCAAACGGG
rnacentral:rRNA from 1 species